CUUCCAGAAGUACAGUAACAAGGCUUUGAGCGGACAUAAUGAGGAGACAAUUAGAGGCAUCAGCCCAGGUGAAUGUGCAGUACGGUGUCUCCAGGGGACGUCAGUUGUACCCGAGGGAAGCUGUAAGUCUUUUGACUACGACAGAAGAGGCCCAAGUUGUGUUCUCAGCAAGGCGAGUAAAGUUACUCAUCCAGCAGCAUUGGGGGAUAACGCGAACAAUGACUACUACCACAGGAAUGAGCCUUGCUCAAGCAGUCCAUGUGAAAACGGAGGCAACUGUACCGACAUCGGGUAUAACAGUUUUACCUGUGCGUGUACAUCUACAUGGUUUGGAGAGACGUGUCAGACAGCAGAUGUAGAUGAGUGUGACCUAGGCACCCACAACUGUGAUCAACAUGCCAACUGCACGAACACACCAGGAUCUUUCACAUGUACCUGUUAUCAUGGAUACCAUGGGGAUGGAAUAUCAU